GUUUCUUAUUUCUGAUGUGAAACCCCCCGGCCCUCCCGGGGAGGGUCUUUGGAAACGGGGAGACUUGAUUGCCCAUAAAGAAAGUGGAAUUCCCUGUGUAGCGGGGAAAUGCGUAAAGAUAUGGAGGAACACCAGUGGCGAGGGCGACUUUCUGUUCUGUAACUGACACUGAGGCGCGAAAGCGUGGGGAGCAAACAGGAU
rnacentral:rRNA from 1 species